GUCCCGCCCCGCCCUUGACGUCAGAGCCCGCCCCGGCCACGUGACGACAACACCACAAGCAGGGGCGGGGCGGGGCGGGGAGGGGCGGGGCGUUCCCGGCGGACUACGGACGUGGAGACGCGGGAGGCACGCUGACGGGCGCGCCAGGAAUGCGUUCCUGCGUGUCUGUUGCACCGGCCGGACGGAUGAUCAAUGAUUUUUAUUUCAUCGUUGUGAAAUCUGGAGGAGAAAAACCAGCCAAGAACACUGGACUUCUGACCUACAGAACUGUGAAAUAAUAAGUUUGUGUUGUUUUAACGCUCUAAGUUUGUGGUGAUUUGCUUGGAAGCAAUAGAUGAAUUUAUUAUAUA